CUGGAAAGCAGUGGCUUAAUACCCCUGAAUGCUCAAAUCAGCUUGUUCACCCACAGCAUGGGAAACAGUGCAAGCUUCCCUGUACUGCCCUGCCAAUAUGCCUCAACUCUGAUCUGAAGGGGUGAGCUCUGCGGGUGAGGGGUUAGGUCAUCCCCUAAGCUCAUUCACUCCUUCUCCUGU
rnacentral:sRNA from 1 species